CGGUCCAGACUCCUACGGGAGGCAGCAGUAGGGAAUCUUCCGCAAUGGACGAAAGUCUGACGGAGCAACGCCGCGUGAGUGAUGAAGGCUUUCGGGUCGUAAAACUCUGUUGUUAGGGAAGAACAAGUACGAGAGUAACUGCUCGUACCUUGACGGUACCUAACCAGAAAGCCACGGCUAACUACGUGCCAGCAGCCGCGGUAA
rnacentral:rRNA from 1 species